CCCUUUGAUGUUCUGGGCCGCACGCGUGCUACACUGAGUGGAUCAGCGGGUCAGGUUGCGCGAAAGUGUUUCCUAAUCUUGAAAUCCGCUCGUGAUGGGGAUUGACGGUUGCAAUUUUCCGUCAUGAACGAGGAAUACCUUGUAAGCGCGGGUCAUCAUCCCGCGCUGAAUACGUCCCUGCCCUUUGUACACACCGCCCGUCGCUCCUACCGAUUGAGUGGUCCGGUGAGGCUUUGGGAUCUGAGCGGAAAGAGCGUUUCGCUGUUUCUGCUCGGAAAACUCAGUCGAACCUUAUCAUUUAGAGGAAGGAGAAGUCGUAACA
rnacentral:rRNA from 1 species